AGUGAACGCUGGCGGUAGGCCUAACACAUGCAAGUCGAACGGCAGCACAGUAAGAGCUUGCUCUUACGGGUGGCGAGUGGCGGACGGGUGAGGAAUGCAUCGGACUCUACUUUUUCGUGGGGGAUAACGUAGGGAAACUUACGCUAAUACCGCAUACGACCUACGGGUGAAAGCAGGGGAUCUUCGGACCUUGCGCGAUUGAAUGCGCCGAUGUCGGAUUAGCUAGUUGGCGGGGUAAAGGCCCACCAAGGCGACGAUCCGUAGCUGGUCUGAGAGGAUGGUCAGCCAUAUUGGAACUGAGACACGGUCCAGACUCCUACGGGAGGCAGCAGUGGGGAAUAGUGGACAAUGGGCGCAAGCCUGAUCCAGCCAGACCGCGUGGGUGAAGAAGGCCUUCGGGUUGUAAAGCCCUUUUGUUGGGAAAGAAAAGCAGCAGGUUAAUACCCCGCUGUUCUGACGGUACCCAAAGAAUAAGCACCGGCUAACUUCGUG
rnacentral:rRNA from 1 species